AGUGAACGCUGGCGGUAGGCCUAACACAUGCAAGUCGAACGGCAGCACAGUAAGAGCUUGCUCUUACGGGUGGCGAGUGGCGGACGGGUGAGGAAUACAUCGGAAUCUACUUUUUCGUGGGGGAUAACGUAGGGAAACUUACGCUAAUACCGCAUACGACCUACGGGUGAAAGCAGGGGAUCUUCGGACCUUGCGCGAUUGAAUGAGCCGAUGUCGGAUUAGCUAGUUGGCGGGGUAAAGGCCCACCAAGGCGACGCUCCGUAGCGGGUCUGAGAGGAUGAGAGGAGAAACUGGAACAGAAAAAGGGUACAGACUAGAACGGGAGGCAGCAGUAGGGAAUGGGGGGAGAAGGGCGGAAGCCGGAAGGGGCAAUGUGUGGGGAGUGAUGAAGGUCUGCGGAUAGUAAAGCGGUGUUAUGAGGGAAGAAAAAAUGUGGAAGUAACGAUGGAGGUCUUGACGGGACCGAAUGAGAAAGCCACGGCUAAGUACGUG
rnacentral:rRNA from 1 species